UCAGAAGGGAGGCUGUUCAAGGAAAAGGGAGGCUCUGGCCCAAGGAAAGGUAAAGACACCCAUAGAAAAAUAGAAAGCCAUGCUUCUUGGUCAUGCUCAGCAUGGAGGACAUUAAAGGAAAAAGGAGGGCUGUGACCCAAGAAAAGAACUAUUGGGAGCCAGAGGAGAAGGAGCAGACAGAGUUGGGAGAGGGUCCAGAGAAUGGAAUGGAGUUCGGGAAGGAGCCGGAGAAGAAGGAGCAGACGGAGCUAGAAUGACAUUAGCAAGACAUUGGAUAGAAGACCCAGAAGUUGAAGAAUGGAUUGAAUAUAUAUCUAUAUCAAAAAUGGAUAAAUUAACAACACUAUUGACAGAUGGCAAUUUGAAAAAAUUCGAAUCAGACUAGAACGAUGUUGUAAGAUUUAUGUCUCAAAAGGGGAGUCAGUGGACAGUAGAAGGAUUUACAGAUUGUUAAGUAGAAUGAUAAGAUAAAAAUGGAGUAUCAAUGACAUUAAAGUGAUAAAUGUAUAGAUUUAAGAGGAAAGAUAAUUAGUUGCUAGUAAAAUGAUAAGUAACAAACAUGCUAAAUGGAAAAUUAAAGCAUCACAAAAUAAGUUACAGUUAAUAAUCAAUACUGUAAGAUAGGAAGGAUACAUUGAAUAAAUGUCAUAAGCAUGAAGAUUAAAUACAUUGAUCUGGAUGCUAACAAUAUAGUCCUCGGAUUGUAUUUACAGAGAAAGAAUGAACUGGUAUGGAAACAGUAAGUGAAAGGAGGUUAUAGUGAGUCUAGAAGAUAUGUGAAAGAAGAUUAGAACGAAUUAAAGGGAAAUAUAGGAGAAGGAAGUUUAUAUGAAGAAGGAUGUAUGAAAGGAAGAGAGAGAUGGGUAGUUAGGAGUAAAGAAGGAUAGUCAUUGAAAGAACUGGAAAGGAUUCAGUAGAGAAAAUGGGAGGUGAAGGAAGAAAGGGAUAAUCCAAAGCUAGCUUGGUCAAUAUAGUACAGUACGAGUUAUAAUAGAAACAGGUUGAGUAUACUGUACUUUUAAAUUUAGAUUACGGUAAUAUAGAAAGUGUGGGAGAAUUAAGGAAUAGAAAGUACUGUAGUUGCUCAUAUAUAAGUCUUGAAAUUUUAGUCAAAAAUUGACUCAAAAAAAAAAUGAGUUGACUUAUCCAUGGGUCAAUAUAGGUACUUUGCUUUAACUCUUGCUUUAAAAAAGGAAUCAUUCCCUGGUAAAAGGCAAGAGUGUCAUCUGUCCUAGAAGCACUGUCUAUUCUCUUAUCCAGCCAUCCUUUAGUUAUGCCUGCUGGAAUUUUCUAAGUUCUUUGGCACUGUUCUCCUUUCCUUCAUCCUUUAGAUCCUUUGUUACAUGC